ACAGCGGCUGCACGUGACCCACACGGUGCGCAAGCUGCACGUUGGGGAUUUUGUGUGGGUGGCACAGGAGACCAAUCCUAGAGACCCAGGUGAAGGGCCAUGGACAGGCUGGCGCCAGGGGCAGGGCCUGGUGGGUAGGGGAUCGCAAGCUAACGGCUGGCUUGUCGGCAGCAAGCCCUGGAGAGUUGGUACUGGAUCACAUUGUGGAGCGCAAGCGGCUGGAUGACCUUUGCAGCAGCAUCAUUGACGGCCGCUUCCGGGAGCAGAAGUUCCGGCUGAAGCGCUGUGGUCUGGAGCGCCGGGUAUACCUGGUGGAAGAGCAUGGCUCGGUCCAGAACCUCAGCCUUCCUGAGAGCACACUGCUGCAGGCUGUCACCAACACUCAGGUCAUUGAUGGCUUUUUUGUGAAGCGCACAGCAGACAUUAAGGAGUCAGCCGCCUACCUGGCCCUCUUGACUCGGGGCCUGCAGAGACUCUACCAG
rnacentral:sRNA from 1 species